AUGUCGCUCAAAGGGUAUUACGAAGCCUCGUUGCGUCCGCCCACCGCGGAUGCGCCGGCGGCGACAGAGUGGGACUGGGGGGAAGUCCUCCUCGACAGCAAAGCUUACAUGGCCGACAAGAAAAACCACACCUCCGCCCACUGUCAUUUCAAGAGGAAGCAGGACGGCAUGGAGGUGGAGAUGUGGGUCACCUUGUGCCUCGCCCCGCCGCCUCGCGUCUCCUAUUUCUGCUGCCACGCCUACUGCCCUGACGACCACGGUGGAGAAGAGGCCCGCUUGUUCUUCCGCGAGCCGUCCAUGGUGGCCACUGAGGGUAACCUUGCCCUCGUCACCCUCCGCAACGGGCGCUCCCAUCCCUCCUCCUCCUUCAGCACCUGCCCCAUCAGUGACUACUACGAAUACUUCGUCUACCAGGCGGGGGUGCGGGAACUCACCCGGCUCCGGCAACCAUCCCGCGAGAUGUUAACUGGGGGAGCUGACUGCUUCGAUGCCGAUUCGAUUGCUGUCGUGCCUUACCGCAGCAACAUUUCCACCCAUGCUCACCCCCACAAAAUCCACUCCACGCCCCCCACCCCCAUCCUCGGCCCUGCCUCCGCUCAUGCCCACCCCCAACCUCAGUCCUCAGCCCCUCCGUCACCGGCCCUUCUCCCAAGGAUGAUGAUGAUGCCUGUGAUGCCUAUAGAAUCGCAGCGCUUGGCCACGACUAUUUCCAUGACUCCGCCAAUGGCCCAUACUACCUGUGCAUCUAUGACUCCAAGACCCAGGCUUGGACCCGCAAGCCAGGUGCUAUUCCACAGCCGCCGCCACCAUCCGAGUAUACGUGCGACAUGGCCAUCACCAUCGGCUGCGGCUCCAGCCGUGGCAUCGUGGGCUGGGUCGACCUAUGGAGGGGCAUGCUCCUCUCCGACGUGCUAG
rnacentral:rRNA from 1 species